CGCAUCUGUGCAUGCAGCAUAUCAAUAAGCGGAGGAAAAGAAACUAACUAAGGAUACCCUUAGUAAUGACGAGUGAAGCGGGAAGAUCUUACUCGCUCGCGCUAUUUUACCUACGCUUAGGAUGUUGACGAGACUGUCGAUCUCAUCUAUACAUGACUCUGCGCAUAUCAAUAAGCGGAGGAAAAGGGGGCUAUUACCUACGCUUAGGAUGUUGACGAGACUGUCGAUCUCAUCUAUACAUGACUCUGCGCAUAUCAAUAAGCGGAGGAAAAGGCGUUUACCUACGCUUAGGAUGUUGACGAGACUGUCGAUCUCAUCUAUACAUGACUCUGCGCAUAUCAAUAAGCGGAGGAAAAGGGAAUCGGUCGCCCCAGUACCUACGCUUAGGAUGUUGACGAGACUGUCGAUCUCAUCUAUACAUGACUCUGCGCAUAUCAAUAGGCGGAGGAAAAGGCUGCGGAACUGAACGACCGCUACCUACGCUUAGGAUGUUGACGAGACUGUCGAUCUCAUCUAUACAUGACUCUGCGCAUAUCAAUAAGCGGAGGAAAAGUACUACCUACGCUUAGGAUGUUGACGAGACUGUCGAUCUCAUCUAUACAUGACUCUGCGCAUAUCAAUAAGCGGAGGAAAAGUCAACUACCUACGCUUAGGAUGUUGAACUCUAUCACACACAG
rnacentral:rRNA from 1 species